rnacentral:tRNA from 1 species
UCCCUGGUGGCUCAGACAGUAAAGCAUCUGCCUGCAAUACGGGAGACCCAGGUUCGAUUCCUGGGUUGGGAA